CGAGCAGGCAUCCGACCUUAGCUCAGUUGGUAGAGCGGAGGACUGUAGUGGGUUAAACCGUCAGGUAUCCUUAGGUCGCUGGUUCGAAUCCGGCAGGUCGGAC
rnacentral:tRNA from 1 species